GGAGGAGCCCUUAAGGUGAGGGUUCGAGAGGGUCUGUGGGAGUCCCAAGACCAUGGACUUGGCCGUGGGCUGACCAUCACUCUCACGGGCUAUGAAAAGAGAAGGGGAAGGGGAAGAAAACCGAUGGCAGAGCCUUGGGUAUUGAUGAGAACGAGCUGGGAUCCUGAUGCAGAUGAGAAGAUGUGUGAGCAAACAAGUGGAAACUGAAAGAACAUGGAGUGUUUCUAAGGAAUAUGACGAAUCUGGCCAACUGUGGACCAGGGAGGCUUCCUGUGACCCAAUCUCUCAAGUGCCCAGCCAAGAACCCAGGGCUCCUGGUAAGAUAUCAUCUCCAAAUCAGCUGAUGCCCUGGGAUCACAUCGCCAUGAAGAGGGGAUGGAAGAGUUGGAAGAACCCCUUCUACCUGAGUGUCUCCCUCCCCUCACUCCUGCUCCAUGACUGGGGAAGAGAGGCAUCGGAGAAAGACAGGAGCUUCUGGGUUGUCCCUGCUGGUGGGGACUUCCUUACACAGUACAAGGCUAUUGACCCUUGGCCCUAGAGAUAUAAAUAUUGAAAUCUUUGGUUCCUACUUUCAAGGAAGCCACUGUCUAUUAGGAAAGAUGGACCCCUA
rnacentral:lncRNA from 1 species